ACUCCUACGGGAGGCAGCAGUGGGAAUAUUGGACAAUGGGGGCAACCCUGAUCCAGCCAUGCCGCGUGUGUGAAGAAGGCCUUUUGGUUGUAAAGCACUUUAAGCAGGGAGGAGAGGCUAAUGGUUAAUACCGAUUAGAUUAGACGUUACCUGCAGAAUAAGCACCGGCUAACUCUGUGCCAGCAGCCGCGGUAAUACAGAGGGUGCGAGCGUUAAUCGGAAUUACUGGGCGUAAAGCGAGUGUAGGUGGCUCAUUAAGUCACAUGUGAAAUCCCCGGGCUUAACCUGGGAACUGCAUGUGAUACUGGUGGUGCUAGAAUAUGUGAGAGGGAAGUAGAAUUCCAGGUGUAGCGGUGAAAUGCGUAGAGAUCUGGAGGAAUACCGAUGGCGAAGGCAGCUUCCUGGCAUAAUAGUUGACACUGAGAUUCGAAAGCGUGGGUAGCAAACAGGAUUAGAUACCCUGGUAGGCUCUG
rnacentral:rRNA from 1 species